GACCUGGUGGUGUGCGGUUACACGCCCGCUUUUCAUGAGGCGGUAUAUUUUCCUUCCAGUGAAGCGGGAGACCCCUGUUCGACUCGGGGCCAGGUCU